CCAUAAAACAGGCCGGCAGCCCCUCACGGACGACUGCCGGCCACAUAAACAAACUUAAACAAAACUUAACUAAUGUCCGGGCCCGGUCCUCUCUCGCCGUAUUCUCCUGCCGUUCAUCCUUUUAUGCUUCCGCUCCUCCGUGAGAGAUACGAGGCCGGAAUGACGCCCAGCUGACACUCAUUAUCAAUCGCGUCCCGGCCUCGCUUCUUCCUCCCACGGCUCUCGUCACGCCUCCCUCGUCACAUCCACCAACUUGGCUUUGAAAGGUGUAUUAUAAAACAUAAGUUGCAACACACAAUAAAACAAAAACACUUAAAGGUCAUACAUGGAGGAAAUGCAAAUGUAAAUUUCAAUGAAAUCAUAAAAUUUAAAUAAAUAAUGGAUACAAUUAUAAAAAAUUGAUUAAAUAAGUUAAAAUAAAUAAAUCGAUUCAAAACUAUGUGUUAAGAAAUGACUUCAAAGAUAAAAAAAAAGUGUUGCUAGCAUUCUCAGGCAGCUGAAAAAAAAUUGUUGAAAAAAGCCUUAUUGCUAAUUUGCAAUACUUUCUUUUAUGUUUAAGUUGGACUUCCAAAAGAAAUAUGCCCUUAUUUUCCCCCUAUGGAUCCCUGGGCACUUUCUGUUGUGUGUAAGUGAAUUUUAGUAUUUAUUGCAAAAUGACAGUCAUGUAAAGAGGUUGGAAUUAUACUGAAAAAUUAAUCGCAUUUAAGUUGUAGGCCCUCUUUUAAGCCUUUGUAAUCCUGUAAUCCUUAUAAAUGUAUAAGACUUGUUGACUUAUUUCCAAGACUAUUUUUCCUGUAGGUAAUUAAGCCACUUCAAAGAGAGAUUCUGUUCCUGGAUUCCCUAUAUUCAGACAGAGGACAAGGCUUUACACAUGGGCCUUAUCGAAACAUCUUAAGGUUUCAAAGGAAGAUGUUUGCUGGAAGUCGUGUUCCCCAGACUUCCUAAAACUGUUUGAACUACUGUUAGUCGUGUUCCCCAGACUUGCUCAAAUUGUUUGAACUACUGUUAGUCGUGUUCCCCAGACUUCCUAAAACUGUUUGAACUACUGUUAGUUGUGUUCCCCAGACUUCCUAAAACCGUUUGAACUACUGUUAGUCGUGUUCCCCAGACUUCCUAAAACCGUUUGAACUACUGUUAGUCGUGUUCCCCAGACUUGCUCAAAUUGUUUGAACUACUGUAAAAGGCCGUUCACAUUAUAACGAUAACUGUAACUAUACAGUUCAUUAACUGGAAAAAAUCGUUCUGAAAGUGAUCCCAACGAAAUCUCUUCAUCGCUAUAGUUGUGAUGUGAACACAGCUAUUCUCCUAAAUGAAGAAAGAAGAAGUUUUAAAACCUUUUUUAUAGUUAUCGUUAUAAUGUGAACAGCCCUUAAGUUGUGUUCCCCAGACUUGCUCAAACUGUUUGAACUACUGUUAGUCGUGUUCCCCAGACUUGUUUGAACUACUGCUGUUUGCCAGUUGUGUUCCUUAAACUGACAUGUUCUGCAGCUAAAAAAAUACUUGUGUUUCUCAACGGAAAUUGUUUGUGUGUGAUCCAGUACUUCUAAAAGUACAUUAUCUCAGGACCAUUCACAGAAUUAAUAGCCCUGGAUGUUAAGGUAAAAAAUCAUUUGCUUUGUGUGUGUAUGUUUUGGAAUUAAGGAAUGUAAAACAAAAUUUGAUUUUUAUUAUUAUUUAGUAUUAAUUCAUUAUUGGUUUUGUGUCACAUUAUAGGCUAUUACUACACUAACAAUUUCUCAUUUCACUCAUGCAUUUCACAACUUGAACACCCUACACACCAAGCAAGACCUUAUCGCAUUAACAACAUCUAAAUAUUUAAGCUUUUGAUAUUUUAUUUAUUUUAAAAGGGGCUCCCUCGACAACAUUACGGCAUUGACUGAAUCUUCACGAUAAUGGUAAGUAAACAGUUUUCCAGUUAAAUAAACAAAACAAAAAAAACAUUUUAAAUUCAUGCACUCUCACAGAAUGUCCAUUUACAGUGCCUAUAGCCAGCCUACAAAAUGCAGCUUUUUCCUUUACUUCACUGACAUUGUGCUUAUAAAUGGAAUAAGGCCCAAACGAUGUCAGCACAGUGUCAGCGCUCUGUUAUGCAGCUUUAGUUGUUUCUUUUCUCAGUUCCACAUGAAUCAGUUUUUGCUAACGUAAUAGGAGUCAUACUGUUGCAAUAGAGGAUUCUCUGUUUUAAUUCAGUUUGCUGACUUCACAUGCACACAAAAAAGGAAUUGUACAAACUUUGCUAUAUUUGCAAUACUCAAUAAUGUUGUCAUGGAAGCUCCAUUUGAUUUCACAAUUGUAAGUAUAUAUUCAAUGUUCAUAAAUAUGGUUAAUACAUGUGAUAUGGUUUUUGAUUUGGUCCUGAAGUGGCCCCUCUUUGGUCCGUCCUCAGAUUUCUUCAGUUUUUACCUUUUAGUUUUGGAGGGUUUUUUCUUUUUUUACUUUCUUGCUGUGAGGGUUUAAGUGAGGGUUAAACUGUAAAUUUAUUGUACUCUGAUGUCUUCCUCAGCAUGACAUGCCUUGCUUAAGGAGGUGGUGGUGCACAGUGUUGGUGGAAAAUCUUGAAGGAAGUUUGCCCACUUUACCGAACAGGGAAUACAGAUGGCCUGGGGACGUCUGGACCCAAUUUUCCGCAUCCCUAGGAAGAGGAAAUAUGAGGUCACCACGGAACAUGUCCUCUCAAACCCCCUCGAUUUGAAAAAGCCAUGCGGAGUCGAGUCUUCUUUGGAGGGCAUUGGCAUUUUGCAG